rnacentral:rRNA from 1 species
GUUUGAUCCUGGCUCAGAAUCAACGCUGGCGGCGUGCCUAACACAUGCAAGUCGAACGCGAAAGUUCCUUCGGGAAUGAUUAGAGUGGCGUCCGGGUGAGUAACACGUGGGUAAUCUACCUUCGGGUGGGGAAUAACAUCUCGAAAGAGAUGCUAAUACCGCAUAAUGCAGCGGCAUCUAAUGAUGAUUAGUUGUUAAAGCGGGGGAUCGCAAGACCUCGCGCCUGAAGAGGAGCCUGCGGCCGAUUAGCUAGUUGGUGAGGUAAUGGCUCACCAAGGCUUCGAUCGGUAGCUGGUCUGAGAGGACGGCCAGCCACACUGGCACUGACACACGGGCCAGACUCCUACGGGAGGCAGCAGUGGGGAAUUUUGGGCAAUGGGCGAAAGCCUGACCCAGCAACGCCGCGUGAGGGAGGAAAUCCUUCGGGAUGUAAA